GAUGAACGCUGGCGGCGUGCUUAACACAUGCAAGUCGAACGGAAAGGCCGAAGCUUGCUUCGGUACUCGAGUGGCGAACGGGUGAGUAACACGUGGGUGAUCUGCCCUGUACUUCGGGAUAAGCUUGGGAAACUGGGUCUAAUACCGGAUAUGACGAUCUCUUGGAUGGGGUUGUGGAAAGCUUUUGCGGUAUGGGAUGAGCUCGCGGCCUAUCAGCUUGUUGGUGGGGUAAUGGCCUACCAAGGCGUCGACGGGUAGCCGGCCUGAGAGGGUGUACGGCCACAUUGGGACUGAGAUACGGCCCAGACUCCUACGGGAGGCAGCAGUGGGGAAUGUUGCACAAUGGGCGCAAGCCUGAUGCAGCGACGCCGCGUGGGGGAUGACGGCCUUCGGGUUGUAAACUCCUUUCGCAAUCGACGAAGCCUUUUGGUGACGGUAGGUUGAGAAGAAGCACCGGCUAACUACGUG
rnacentral:rRNA from 1 species